rnacentral:rRNA from 1 species
CAGCCGUAAACAAUGUGCGUUAGGUGUGUCGGUAACCACGUGUUACUGAUGCGCCGAAGAGAAAUCGUGAAACGCACCACCUGGGAAGUACGGUCGCAAGGCUGAAACUUAAAGGAAUUGGCGGGGGAGCACCACAACAGGUGGAGCGUGCGGUUCAAUUGGAUUCAACGCCGAAAAACUCACCAGGAGCGACGGAUAUAUGAAGGUCAAGCUGAUGACUUUACCUGAUUUUCCGAGAGGUGGUGCAUGGCGUAGUCGUGU